rnacentral:rRNA from 1 species
UACGGGGGGGGUAAGCGUUGUUCGGAAUUACUGGGCGUAAAGGGUGCGUAGGCGGCGCGGUAAGUCGGGUGUGAAAUCUCGGGGCUUAACUCCGAAACUGCAUUCGAUACUGCCGUGCUUGAGGACUGGAGAGGAGACUGGAAUUUACGGUGUAGCGGUGAAAUGCGUAGAUAUCGUAAGGAAGACCAGUGGCGAAGGCGGGUCUCUGGACAGUUCCUGACGCUGAGGCACGAAGGCCAGGGGAGCAAACGGG